rnacentral:rRNA from 1 species
GCCUACGGGGCGCAGCAGUAGGGAACCUUCCACAAUGGGCGAAAGCCUGAUGGAGCAACGCCGCGUGGGUGAAGAAGGUCUUCGGAUCGUAAAACCCUGUUGUUAGAGAAGAAAGUGCGUGAGAGUAACUGUUCACGUUUCGACGGUAUCUAACCAGAAAGCCACGGCUAACUACGUGCCAGCAGCCGCGGUAAUACGUAGGUGGCAAGCGUUAUCCGGAUUUAUUGGGCGUAAAGAGAACGCAGGCGGUCUUUUAAGUCUGAUGUGAAAGCCUUCGGCUUAACCGGAGUAGGGCAUUGGAAACU